UUAAUUUUUUUACUAAACACUGUCUCAUCCAUAUUUAUAUUUUUCAUUCAUUCAGAUAUUCUAGAUUCUAGAUUUAAAAAUCACCGCUAAGUAUCUUUCAUCCAAUGUUAUUCUCCCUCUUCAGAUCUGUUUAUCGUGUUAUGAUCUCACUUGUUUUCAUUUAGCCCACGCUUUCUCCCUGCUACUGCAGAGUUUUUGGUAUUGCCGUGGAACUUUUGGCACAAGAUAUGGUUGUCGAAAGCAAAACAAUUUCUCCUCGUUGGAGACAGAAUUCAAUUAAUUCACCACAAAAUAAGAAGCAACAGACACGAUUGGGUGAGCUAGGCAGCUUCUCAACAAUUGUUCAUCGACACCGCUUCCUUCUAACAGCCUGUGCCCUCUUGGCUUUCCUCUGCACCAUAUAUCUCUACCUUGCUGUCACCUUUGUAGCCAACGACUCAUGCUCAGCCUUGUCAGGUACUCAAAAGUCGAUGUGUCAUAUACAACAAGCUAAAGAUUUUGUUUCCAAAGGAAAACUAAGAAAUUUAUUGUAGCCAAUGUCUUUACUGCAUUGAUAAUUUGUUGUAAGCUAUUUUCCCUAUCGAGACCUACUUGAAAUAUAGAUCUUGGUCAUGUUCAUGUGUAGGUGAGAAGUAGCUUUGAAUUGUUACAGUAUACAUGUAACUGCCUUUAAAACGACAACAGUUCCAACUAAAACUGUUUUAGUUUUAGUAAAACAUAUUUUUUCCUGAGGAUCAUUGAAAUGAAAAACAUGUAGCUGAC